UAGGCAGCCUCUGGCUACUUUGAACAUUAAAAUGAGGUAAAGUUCCCAGUCUACUUGUAAGACGAAUGCUAGUUUCUGCUCCUUUUCUCUGGGAAUACUUGCUCUAAAAAGUCAGCUUUCCACUGUGCUGUGAAAAGCCCAAGUUACAUUGGGAGGCUCUGGAUGAUGAGACACAAUAUCAUCUGCUGAGGCAGCAGGUAUGUGAGGGAAAAGUAGAUUCUCCAGCCACUGCUUCUCCAUAUGAUGCCACAUGGAUCAGAGAUGAACCCAGCCAAGCCCUUCCCACGUUCCAGACCUACCAAUUUGUGAGUGAAACCAAAUGGUUAUUUUAAGCCACGAAGUUGUGUGGAAAUUUGCUGUGAAGCAAUAGAUAACCAGAAAGCGCUUUAAGAAAUAACACACACUCAGCCCUAAACAGAAAAAGAACACAGCAAACUGGACAGUGGCAAGAGUCACCAGAAAGAAGACAACCAUUUCAAGAAACCAUGGAGAUCUAUUGUGGAAGGCCACUGCAUCACAGGAUGGAAGGAGUAUGGAUCCAUAUGUCACUAAUUAGAAGAGCAUGAUCCAGGGGCAUCUGGGUGGCGCAGUCGGUUAAGCAUCCGACUUCAGCCAGGUCACGAUCUCGCGGUCCAUGAGUUCGAGCCCCGCAUCAGGCUCUGGGCUGAUGGCUCAGAGCCUGGAGCCUGU